rnacentral:sRNA from 1 species
GCCAGGCACAGUGGCGUACGCCUGUAAUCCCAGCAGCUCUGGAGGCUGAGACAGGAGGAUGGCAAGUUCAAAGUCAGACUCAGCAACGGUGAGGCGCUAAGGAACUCAGUGAGACCCUGACUCUA